UGUGAACACGAAUUCUGGGCGCAAAGGACCAACGGGUCGAAAUCCUACCGAAUUCAUGGAGCAGGAAGAAGGAAAAGGGCGUAUCAAACAAGGCUUAGUGGAUCUGGCUUGUUAUUAUCCUAAGAGCUACACUAAUGAGGCACGAAACUGAAUGCACGGUCUGCUAAAACCUCUCAUCAAACGCGAUCCAAACUCCUUUGUUCUUGUUUGAAGGAAGCUUCGGUAUGGCUCCCAAAAUGGCGCAUAGGAACAAAUUCAACAGCUCAUCUUGGCCUUCAUACGCCACGCAAGGUCGCACUGCACCUCCCUCGCCAAUUGCUCUCAUUGCGGGCUUCCAACGAUGCUUAAUGGAGGUCAUGGAUUAUUUCAAAAAACACUAGCAUAUUGAAGACAAAAAGAUUACCUAUUGAGUUUCCGACACGACGAACCUAUGGAGAGUUACAGGUAUCACCCUUUCCUUCUGCUCUGCUCCGAACCGUACCUUUUCUUCUUCUCUUCUUCGCGUUGUGUGAGCUGGUUCAAUGCGUGAGUGAAGCUUAGAGUGGAGAUUGUGAUUUUCUGCAGACUGACUCAGAUUGGAGAGUUGUGGAAAAUAGAAGAGUUGCGAAGAGAAAAUGAAAAAUGAAUAGUGAAGUAUGAAUAUCUGGAAAUAAUGAGUAAUUCUAUGGAAGAUAAAAACUUGGUCUUCUUGAAGAUUGGAAUGGAUAGGCUUGCUAUGACAUGCUUGGAAUGCUAUGUUUAACUUUAGCAUUAGUAGGAAUUAUAAUUUUUGUAAUGUGAACUCUAUUGUAAUGUAAAGGAUUGGUUUAAAAUUGAAGAUAUGGAUUGGCUUGUAAUUUAUUUUGGAACAUUUUGAAAAUUUGGUUUGUAAUGGAUGUUAUUGAAUGAAAGAAUGGAAAUGGAUUGAAUGA